rnacentral:rRNA from 1 species
AUAGCGUAUAUUAAAGUUGUUGCAGUUAAAAAGCUCGUAGUUGAACUUCAGACCUGGUUGGGCGGUCCGCCUCACGGUGUGUACUGUCUGGCCGGGUCUUACCUCUUGGUGAGCCGGCAUGCCCUUUACUGGGUGUGUCGGGGAACCAGGACUUUUACCUUGAGAAAAUUAGAGUGUUCAAAGCAGGCCUACGCCCGAAUACAUUAGCAUGGCAUAAUAAAAUAGGACUUGCGGUUCUAUUUUGUUGGUUUCUAGAGUCGCAGUAAUGAUUAACAGGGAUAGUUGGGGGCAUUAGUAUUCCAUUGCUAGAGGUGAAAUUCUUGGAUUUAUGGAAGACUAACUUCUG